rnacentral:rRNA from 1 species
CCAGCGCUGUAUGCCUUAGUACGGCGAGUGAGCGGCAAAAGCUCAAAUUUGAAAUCUGGCACCUUCGGUGUCCGAGUUGUAAUUUGAAGAAGGUAACUUUGGAGUUGGCUCUUGUCUAUGUUCCUUGGAACAGGACGUCACAGAGGGUGAGAAUCCCGUGCGAUGAGAUGCCCAAUUCUAUGUAAAGUGCUUUCGAAGAGUCUAGUUGUUUGGGAAUGCAGCUCUAAGUGGGUGGUAAAUUCCAUCUAAAGCUAAAUAUUGGCGAGAGACCGAUAGCGAACAAGUACAGUGAUGGAAAGAUGAAAAGAACUUUGAAAAGAGAGUGAAAAAGUACGUGAAAUUGUUGAAAGGGAAGGGCUUGAGAUCAGACUUGGUAUUUUGCGAUCCUUUCCUUCUUGGUUGGGUUCCUCGCAGCUUACUGGGCCAGCAUCGGUUUGGAUGGUAGGAUAAUGACUAAGGAAUGUGGCUCUACUUCGGUGGAGUGUUAUAGCCUUGGUUGAUACUGCCUGUCUAGACCGAGGACUGCGUCUUUUGACUAUGAUGUUGGCAUACUGAUCUUAAUUCACCCGUCUUGAACACGGACCAGCUGAGAUUUUUUGUAAAAAAAAAAAUUUUUUUCUUUUUCUUUGUU